CAUGAACAAACGCCGUGUGAACAAUCGUUGAAUGACUAUAAAAGUGUCACUACUCGAUUGAGACGGCAUCAUUCGGAUAGUUACAGUUUUGUGUGAGUUGAGCUCUACAUAGUAGAUAACAAAUCGAGCGGCAGUGAUAACUAAUCCAAGUCGAUACGUGAAUUUCGGACUAGACAAGACUACAAUUUCCAUCAUUCAAAAUGCCGUGCAAGUGCUGUGGUAAUGACUGCAAGUGCAACGCCAGUUGCGGACAGGGCAAACCUUGCGGCGCCGAAUGCAACUGCAACUGUGCCAGCAAAACGGAAACCGGCAAAGAUUGCUGCGAGUCGGGAAGCAGCAAGAAGUAGAAGCCGUUUUCUGCGGAUUCCGAUAUGUGCCACAUUUUGUGAAGUUUUCAUGGAGACAUAACAAAAUAAACUUGAAGAAUUAAAGUGUUACGUUUUGGCUGUAUUGAAAGGAAAAAUGUAGAUGCUAUUCUAGUGAAAUAAAAGGUUGUGUCAUUCCGUAAAUUA